ensembl:lncRNA
UUNUUUUUUUUUUUUUUUUUUUUUUUUUUGCUAUUAAUCUUUAAAAAAACUGCUACUAAUCUUUGUCAUUUAUGACAUGUCCUGACAUUUGGACAGCUGAGUGUGACUUGGGAGAAGAUAGAUAUAAUGUUAUCUGAGCCAUUUCCCCAGCCGGCAAACAUCAGGGGUCUCUGCUGAGAUAAGAAAGGGGUUCACUUCAGCAAAGGAAGUGUUAUCUCUGAAUUUUACUCUAAGUUUCAGAGUAAGAUUAUUGACUCCGCCUGAACAUUCCUCAACAGCUUCUUGAACUUCCCUUGCCCCUUGCUCCCCAAACUUCCUCCUCAGCAGUCUUCCCCGCUGAAGUGGCGUUGAAAAUAUGACCCCACCUUGGAUGAUGGGAGUGACUAACGAAGAAAUAUAGAGACCUGAACUAAAUACCUAGAAGCUCAGCCUGUGGUCUUUCAAGAAUACUGUUAAUUAUGCCAGAUACAGAAAGAAUUUACAAGUCAGCCAGUCCAUCCACCUGACUUGAAGGGGUGGCUACACCUAGAAUCUCAUUGAUGUGAGAACGAAUCCCCUUAAGGCAUUUAGAAAACAUAUUCAAAAGUAGCUGUCAUGACUUGCGUGGGAACAGAUGCCUAGAAGGUUGAACAUGAAUUAGAGAUAUGUAUAUAUUAAAAGAAAGACAACACAAUUGAAGCCUAUUCCAAGAAUGGGGUAGUGUAAGUGUCUUUUAGAGGGAAACUUGUGCUCUGUGUGAAGGGAACCUUCAGCUGCCUUCAAAACUUUCUUCUCCCUAAGGUAUUCUGUGAGAUAACUGGGAACAGGAAGAGGCUCAGCUUCAGUAACAUUUGAAUUAGUGUCUGGAGGGUUUUCAGAGCUAGCCUUAGAUGCCUGUAAAUGGGUGAAAGUAAUCCACAUGUCAUAAAUCAUACCGGUUUAUUAGUAGUAGGUGGGAUAAAUCCUGCAUAAGUAAAGAGAGACUUAAUGAGAGUUCCUUUAUUCCGAAAGCAUUUGAAAGAGAGAGAGAGAGAGCUGUAAAUAAAAGGCCUGGUGAGAAAUAGAAGAGGGAGGGCACUGAUGAGCUGCCACGAUCUGAAACAACUGGUAUCUGCCACUAAACACCUUGACUUGAGGACCUAGAUUGCUGAGCAUUGCAAAAAUAGUGCGUUGUGUGUCAGAAGAGAUUAUAAAAAAUGACUUCCUGAAAAAGGCCAACUAUUGUUUUUGUUUUUUAAGUAUUUAUCCUGGGCUCCUAGCAUCAGCAAGCUGAGUUUGUUCCUCUGAAAAUAUUGGGAGACUGGCAAGGGACUAAGAGAAAACCAGCAUGUGAAAUAAGAAUUCUGUUACCCUAAAGACUCCAUAUUGACUCUUCUUAGGAGCUAGUCUUUUUUCCCGGCUCUCUCAUAUCUUCAGAAUUUUCCUCUUCACUGGCCUUUACCAGCUUGUCCGUCUAUAAAAAUGUCCACACACUAAGAGUUAUUAAAGUUUCCUUGGAUCUUGAGUCCCUCUGCUUCUCAAUAUUGUCUCUAUCCUUUGUAGCCAAAUUUGAGAGAAAAGGCUAUUCCACUGCUUCUGUCUUCCUCAGCCUCCCUCAGAUUCUCACUCCUAUCCAUCACUGUACAGAAGCUGUCUUCUCAAAGGUUACUGACAGCAUCCUACCUGCCCUAUCUAAUCACUUCUUUUCAGAAGUUAUCCUCUAGGACUUCUGUGGCAUUUACCAUGACAAAGCAUCUUUUGGCUUCUAAAUCACUACUUUCUCCCAUUUUCCUCUGAAAAUUUUUAAACCAUUUUUUAUCAGUCUCCUUUUAGGUUUCUUUUCCUUUCAGGAGCUUGUAAAUGCUGGUAUUUUCAAAGGAUAAGCUCUUGUUUUUCUACUAUUCUUAUUCUCUUAUUUAUGGCCGGGGGCCUCAGCUAUGCUGAUUUCUACAAACCUCAAUCACCAGCCUGGAGCUCCUGUCUGAGCUGCCAAUUAUUGCCUUCAUGGAGUCCGCCGUAAUGCGUCUCAGAAGCCACAUAGCUAACUCCUGUUCUCUGGUAAACUUUCUCCUCCUGCACUUUCACUCUCUUAAUAGAAUUACUCUGAAGUCAUCACCACCCCCCAACAGCUUUGCCAUCUUUGACUCCUAUUUCUCACAGCCCAAGGAACCAGUCAUAAGAUUCGAUGAUAAUAUGUCAAAACUAGCUUUAAGAUUUCUUUUUUUGGAGCUCCUGCUGUGGCUCAGCGGGUUAAGAACCCGGCUAAUGUAAAUAAGGAUGGGGGUUUCGAUCUGUGGCCUUGUUCACUGGGUUAAGGAUCUGGGAUUGCCGAAAGCUGUGGAGUAGGUUGGCUUGGAUCCGGGGUUGCUCUGGCUGUGGUGUAGCCGAUUUGACCCCUAGUUUGGAAACUUCCAUAUGCCGUAGGUGUGGCUCUAAAAAAAAAAAUUUCUUUUUUCUUCCUCCAUUUACUCUGCCAUUCCCCUCAUUUGACUGCCUUCAUUUCUCAACUAGUUUAGUUAGAUAGCCUUCUAAUAAUCUAAUAAUAUUUUGUCUUCAGCCGUUCUCAGUACCUUUCCACACUUCUCCCAACUUUUCUGUGAUAUCUUUCCCUUAUCAUGUCUCCUUUCUUCUUAAAAGAGCAAAUGACUCCUCGUAGCCAAGGACAUUAGUUAGUAUGGCUUUAAGUCCCUUCCUGGUCGGUUCCUCUCUGUUUCAUGGUGAUCCAAAUGGGUUAAGAAGGGCUUGGAUACUCUCUUUUGUCCAUAAAGGGAAGGAAUGCUGAUUGUGCCUGACUCCGCUUCUUAGAAAUUGUUUUAUGCAAACUCAGGUCUCAGUAGAACAAAACAGUUCCUCUCAAGGGCAUUGCAGAGAGGAGCUGUGUGCUAGAAUGAAUGUGUAUAAUCCAGUGCUAAGGAAAUGCCAUCCUGAAAAGUUAAGUCCCCAUUAAAAGGUAAGUAUGAAAUAAAAAAAAUUUGGAAAGAGGGAAUAAAAUAGAGGUGUAACUGGGGAGUUUAUUUUUUAAAAAAUCUUUUUUUGGAGUUCCCUGGUGGCCUUGCAGUUAAGGAUCCUGCAUUGUCGCCACUCUGGCUCAGGUCACUGCUGUGGCAUGGGUUCGAUCCUUGGCCCAGGAGGUAAUGCAUGCUGCAGGCCCAGCAAAAAAAAAAAAAAAAAAAAAA